ACCUGUCCUCUGACUUCCACAUGUGUGAGUGUGCACGCAUGCUCGGGCACACACACAGUACACAUAUAUAUGCAAAAAUAAAUACAUUUUUGUUUGUUUUUCAAGACAGGGUUUCUCUGUGUAGCUCUGGUUGUCCUGGGACUCACUCUGUAGACCAGGCUGGCCUCGAACUCAGAAAUCCACCCGCCUCUGCCUCCUGAGUGCUGAGAUUAAAGGGAAAAAAACAAACAAACAGUAGUUACUGGAGACCAGAGAGAAAGGAGGAGUCACAGAUCGGGGAAAGGUCAGUAGAGAUAAAGGAACGGAUAGACCUGAAAUAGUAAAGAGAAAUACGUUCAUAGUAUUCAUUGUUGGGCUGGCCCAGACAU
rnacentral:lncRNA from 1 species